CUGCUGUAUGUCAAUAACUAUUGCAUGCUGUGUGUUCUGCAUUAUGGGGUACACUAGUAUGGUUAUUGAGUGUUAUGUUACCAUGUGAGCCACUUAAAGGACAAACAGUGCCCCCCCCCACAAAGCUAAAAGUAUGUGUGUUUCUGAGGUUUAUUUUCAGAGGUGUCACUCACUCAUAAAUCUGCAGUAAUUUAGUCAUAAUUCUGUAAAGUGGUUAAAGUUUAGUAGGCUUAAUGUAUGAACAGAUUAGUCACACAGACUGAGCAAAGAAAAAUAUAGUCUGUAGUUACAGAUUUAAAAUGCAAGCUGUUCAGUUUGACAACAGUAAAAAAAAAAAAAAAAAAAAAAAAAAGAGGAAAGUUAAAAGUUUAAGGGGACACAAAUGAGACCUCCAUUAGAAUGAAACCACAAACUACUUCAGUGUUGAAACUUCAUUUUCCAUUGGGCGUUAACAAAAACAUAAAAACCUUAGUCAUUUUUUUCUAUUAUAAUGUAAUGCAUUAGACAAAUGGGUGCUGUUACUGUCUCAGCAUCCUGCCCUGAUACUUGGACCUGGGGAGUCAGAAAACAGAUUCUUUUGAAUGUUUUUUUUUUUUUUUGGUCAAAGCUUUGAGUUACAGUGCAAUAAUAUGCCUACUAUUACCACUUUUUGAUGAAGAAACAAAAGUGAUUUUUCUUUUUUUUAAAGAGUGGGAUUUUGGAUGAUUUCUGGUUACAUUUCAAGGUCAAAACAUGCCACACAACUUUUCUCUCGUCCACCACGCUACAAUAUUGUCCCAUCUCACAUAUAUUCUUAAACUUAAAAAAGUCAGGUGAAUGGAGUGUGGUUCACUGAAGAAGAUUUGUGCAAUUCAUUUUAAGUGUUAGGAUACUCAUGCUUGUUUGUCUGUGUGGAUUUUCAAAGCUGGAAAACGUGAAGGUCACCAGCUGUAACUUUCCCAGAUGCAGCCAGCACAGUUCAGAUUAACUGCAUUAGAAAUUCAGUUUGGAAAAAAUAAUACAGAUGAUGUUCAGGAUUGUUGUUUGUACUCCUCUGAAUUGGAACACCAAAUUGCAAGAUAGACAAUGAACGCAGCGUGUGUCCACUGGUAAAGCUAAAAUGUCUUGUUAACUUUUUAUGGAAUGCUGAAUACUAACAGAUGUGACUUUAUUUUCAAGGGAACAGCCCAUUACACAUAGCAUCGUAAAGAAACUAACAUUUUUUUCAUAUAUAUAAUUUUUUUUUUUUACAAAAUAUUUUAUUUUGUGCAUCCCUAUCUUUAGAAAUGGUUGUGCAAAUGUGAUCUAUGAAAAACUACAGUAGUAAUGGAUAAAAAAGCUUAGAGGAUUUUGUGUUGAUUAGACAGUCAGCUUCAUUUAUUUCCCUAAAACCAGUAGGUCCUUCAAAGAAUAAUGAUAUUAAAUAUGCCAGUACAAACCUAAUAUUUGUACAAUAAGUAGGUCUGUGCAAUUUUAUAGUUUUAGAGGUAUCUUAACAGUUAAUGUUGGUUUAUAUUUUAGAAGUCUAAAUUUGACAGUAUUUCACUCAUGCUUGCCAACAUUUUCCCCAGGGCCUACUUGUUCUGUUUUGUUUUGUCAUUGUAGUUUGCCAUGUAGUAGUAACCUGCCAUGCACUAUAAUUUGCUGAGUUUGGUUUAAUAUGUAUUGAAAACAUUUAUAUGUGGGGAAAAAUUGUUGUAUUUGUGAACAUAACACCCACUGCAGCUUUGGACUCUUGAGGAGACGAGCACAGAGCUGAAACCUCUGCAGAGAAGGCACCCUGGUGGUUGUGAGUCCUCACUGAUGAGGCAGCUUUUAAGUUGUGUAGCCCAUCUGCACCUGUGAUGACUUCUGUUUUAAAUGGAAAAAUUGAGCAAUGUACACUUUGAUGUCAUGGGGAAGGAAAAUCCGUAGAGCCCGUGCGAAGCUGUUCACAUACCUGCAAGUGCAUUUGGGCACUUAAUGUGACCGAUUAUCAAUAAAUUGUUCAUUUGAAGGGAAACAUGUUUCUUCGAUGGAAGUGAAUUGAAGAAACAAGCUGCCGUACCUUAUUGUGUUUCGAAGGAGUUGUCACUUGAAAUUUUGUUUCUGCACACGAGAAGGGAGACGAUUUACAGUUUUAGCACCAGUGAAGAGAGACCCGUAUUUCGAGUGAGGAUUGCUAUUUGCUUACAGGCCAGUUCUGACCUCCUAAGUUGCCUAAAUUACUUCCUCCCUCACGAUCCCUGCUUAUUAUCCUCAACUGUUCCUGUUGGCAUGUGAACAACGGAUCAGGAUCGAGGAGCCUCUGCAGCCCCUUGGUUCCAGCCAGAGUCCAGUUUGCAGUGCGAAACAGUGGCGAGGGUCGGCGCAAGCGGCAGCACAUGCCAGUAUCCUGUUCUCUCCGGUGGUCGUUACUCUAAAGGUUUCAUGUGCAGUGUUCCUGGGUCUGAAUAGGAGGCGAGGGAAGCUCAACACCUCCGUCACACACUCCACUCGGGAGAUUGUGGGCGACACUGCUCUGAAAUUUCCAUAGCAUCUACAGUUCAUGCUGUCUCACUGCAGAGGCCAAGCUGAACCACUGGGCUGAUUGUCUUUAUUACACUUUGCCCAGUUAUAUGAGUUGAUUUGACUAAAUGCUUGUAUCAGGGAAGAGGAUUGGCCCAAACCUCAGCUAGGAAUAUUAUUGGCCCCCGUGUCUUUGUGUUCUCCUCUGAUUGAACCCUCUCCGAGGAGAUGAGUGAGGAAGCUCGUUUGCUUUUCUGAAGUUGUAUGUCUUCAUCACCAGAGGUCUGCUGCUGCAUGGAAUUGAAAUACAAGCAGGCCAAAUCGUUUACCCUUUUCGGCCGCUGGAAGGAAUCUACAAUGCACACCUCACCGCUUCCCCAAAUUCUUCUACGAGACCUGUUUAUUUUGACAGUUACCUUUUUUAUAAGUUUAAGACCACUGCACACAAAAAAAAGAGGAAAGAAAGUUUCCAGUUACCCCUACCAACCAUUUUAGCUGUGUUAGUGUGAAAACAAAUGCUGUAUUCUGUGCUGAGGACGAGCCCUUGCUUCACAAGAGAAACAUUGCCAUCUUGAGGACCAUGGAGCACCUGCUUUCCUCUCUCACCGUCUACCUGACACCAUACUGAGCUGGUAUCACUGUAAAACUGCUGUACAGAAACAGCGUGAUGGUGAGUACGGUGAACAAGUGCUGCCUGCCAGGUCUGUAUCGUUGGCUUUAGCAGCAGUGGUGAGUAUUAAAUGUCAGCACCUCACAUUUUCCAAUAACAAAUGGACAGCGGUACACUGGUUUUCAGCCUAAGUCAUUACUUGGUUUAUUUACUUUUAUAGCAACUGGCAUAAAUCCCGAAGACCAGCAUAGGAUAGUACAAGACGUCAGUGGUGCUUUCACCAUCACCAGUUUAAGAAUCAGCUAAAUUAAAAAAGAUUUAAUUGUCCCAAAUCAUCAAAAAACAAAACCAAAACAAACAAACUAAAAUUUAACAACUUAUGUGUAAACUUUUGUUUAAAUUUGAUUGUUUUAGUUAGACUACUGCAAGUGCCACACCCCUGGUUAGCUCACUACUUCAUAUUGGUUCUGCGGCCUUGAGAUCAAUAUCAUUCUUUCAAAGAUCAAUCAAGCCACUGAAUGCCAGGAACUAAAGGCAAGAUUAAUAUUGUGGUCUGUGAAAUUACUGGUGUAGAUUCAGUUAUAAAGACCUAAUUCUUUUAUGGUGGAGCAAAAGAUGAAGCAUUAAUGAUAAAUGAAUACAUUUACUGUAUAACUGCUUUAGUACAAAAUUUGAGGUGCGUUGAGUAUGUAUCCAUAAAAGGAUACUAAUACUUCUAAUUCAGAGACAAACUUUUUUCACUCAACUACAUUUGCAACUUAGUUACUAAUUCCUGUGCAGAUCUUGAUUACUCAUACUAAAGUAACUACUAGAAGUUAAACUAAAACUAUUGUUAUUGAUGUAGAGAAAUAUAAAGUAGCUAAAUGUUGGCCCCACCUUUAGCAUUUGAAACAUUAAAGGGAUGCCCAUUCCAAUGAGUAAUUAAGUAUGACUCAUGAAUGAGUAAUUCAGUAAUAUGAAGCAUUCACUGGGUAACACUUGUUAGUAAAUACUUCUUCCAUGACGGUUUCAAACCGCUGUCGUACCUUCUAAGAUUUUACUUCCAGUCACAGAUAAUGUUAAUGAUACAGAAACUUUUAGUGUAGUCUAUUUAAUAAAACAAACAGUAUUAACUGAUUGCAAAGGCCUAAGCCUGUAUCCUCUAAAUCUAUCACAGAGCAGCUGGAGCAAAUAAAAAUAAACAAUCCAAUCUGUGGUUAGAACUUCACUGUCUGUGUAUUGAGCCUGUGUGAACAGAUACAGUGUCAAUGGAACACUCUUAAUGAGAAGCAGAAUACACUGAAGUUAAUAAUUAUGUAGACUACUGGAUCUUAAUAGGUCACAGCAGCAAGAUGAUACCUGGUGCAGUAAUAUGUUUCUUUAGUAAAAUAUUCCCCAUUAAAGGGAAAAUAUGCACAUAGAGAAACUUUGAAAAAAUAUUUAAGUCAGUUUUGUAAAGUUUUUAACUUUUUGAAAUAACGAAUUCUGCAUUUUCACACAUUUGAGAGGUUAUUUGUUGAAACUCAUUCACCUAAGUGUAGACAAAGUAAAACAACACAAAGCCCAGUGUUUAUUAACAAAUUUAUUAGACCUCCACCCAGUGUAAGGUUUAUGCCACAGCUGCCCUAAAUGAACAGUUCUGGUAAUUAACAAAAUCAUUUUUUGUUUCAGUAAUGGUUAACUGACCAGCAUGCACAAACUCUUUCAUUUAAAUAUUUUUCCUGCAAAAAUGAAUUUUCACAUUUACUAUUUUAGUGAAGCACAUUAUUAUUAUUUUUUUGAUUAAGAAAAAUUAGUUUUAGUGGUUGAAGAUUACACUUGAUUAAUUUCUGACUUCUCCGAGAAGUCAAAUUCAGUUUUCAAAUAUCCGUGUUUUCUUGUUUUUAUGACAGGUGGUCAAAUAAGUCUGUUAAGCACUGUGUAUCAUCAGAAGAUACUGACUCUGGUUAAAAGUUCAGUUGGACAGCUGUUUGUUGCCAGGAAACUCAGCACACCAUCAGGUGUCAGCUACAGUAAGUACCCCAUAUGCUGUGAGUAACAGUGUAUUAAUGAGAACAUUAACAUGAACUCUGUAACAGCUUUAAGCAAAUAACAAUUACAAGAAUCUGUUUGUUAUGAAAAUCAGUGUCAUUAUUGUUAUUAGUAUGUCUCAAUAAUGUGUCAAUAAAACGUGUUUAUUUGUUGAAACUUGA